rnacentral:tRNA from 1 species
GGCGACAUGCCGUAGCAGAAACAGAAUGGGCUGUGGAAUCAUAUGUUCCUGGGUUCAAAUCCCAAUUUCACCG